GCCCGGCUGGCACAAUUGGUUAGCGCGUAAGACUUUUAGGGCCACCUAGCUAUCUUAAGGUUGAGAGUUCAAGCCUCUCGUCGGGCG